UACGAAGGGGGCUAGCGUUGUUCGGAUUUACUGGGCGUAAAGCGCACGUAGGCGGAUUGUUAAGUCAGAGGUGAAAUCCUGGAGCUCAACUCCAGAACUGCCUUUGAUACUGAGGGUCUUGAGUAUGACAGAGGUGAGUGGAACUGCGAGUGUAGAGGUGAAAUUCGUAGAUAUUCGCAAGAACACCAGUGGCGAAGGCGGCUCACUGGGUCAUUACUGACGCUGAGGCACGAAAGCGUGGGGAGCAAACAGG
rnacentral:rRNA from 1 species